UUGAUUCAUCACAGUCGGAUAGUCAUGGUUCUAUGCUUUGUUGAUGAUGCUCAGAAUGCCUAAAGCAUAGCACAGACGGAUGCUCAACGGAUGACGGCAGCAUCUUGAGCGAAUGGUAUCAGAAGGGUACAGAGGCAAGAAAAUCUAUAUUGUUUCAAUAAGAACAGGUUCUGAGGACCCAUGGCUCUUGCAGUUCUCACUGUUGUUACCUUUUGUCUUGUGAGCUGCACGAAUUUAGCCAAGGAUAGUACUUUUGGCAAAUAGGAGGAGAUCCAAAUAGCCUAGAUCCCACGAAGGAUCUUCAUGCGUACUUCGAACAAUCACACAAAGGUAACAACCUCUUUUCCUCUCAGUUAGUCUAAACCUUCAUUGAUAAAUCACCAUACCUUAUGUGGUCUCAUGAAUUCUGUAAUACAUUUUGUUUUAUUCUAUUCUAGUCUAUUCUUUUCUUUAUUUUGUUUUAUUAUUAAGUAGGCUCCAUGCUCAACAUGGGGCUUGAACUCACAACGCUGAGAUCAAGAUCCACAUGCUCUACUGACUGAGCCAGCCAGGCGCCCCUGUAAUACAUUUUUUAACCAAAAAUUUUAUCUAGACAGCCCGCAGAAAUUACUGGCCUGAUGUUCCACGUACCUGGGGACAGCCCUGUUCCUGGCCACCUUGCACCUGCCCUGCUCCAGCCCCGGAAUCAGUCUUUUGUCCAUGGAGCCUGGGGGUCAGAGACCAAGAUCUCUGCAUUCGUUUGGCGGAGAGAUCCGAAGAUGUGUGCGAGUGCCUGCCCGGAGUCAGACUGCAAUGAAAGCCAGCGAUGCCUUUGGUGGCCCCUGAAAUGCUCAGUCUUCCUCCUGUCCAGCGGUGUGGUGAUCUCCAACAUACACUUCAAGAGCACCUCCUUACCAGAUCCCACCUGAGCGAAGGUUCUGAGCUCGUAGUAUUACUGUUCAAAGAAACAUGACGGUACUUUCCUCGCGUGCGUGUCUGUGUUUAUUGAUCUGUCUGUACAUGUAUCUCGGGAGGAGAGGGAGGUGGGAUCCAACCAGUGCAGGGGGCGUUAGAACAGGCGGGUACAGAGAGGCAGUGUUCAGGUUCCGGCAUCUGAACUACGAUUUUCGCCCAUAGUGUCACAAGCCAAGUUUUGUUGAGAAACAUGAUUCACAUUUUCUUUUGUCUCCUCCAGGAGCCUGGCCCCUGGCACCAUAGUUUUAGACUAGAGGGUUCCCAUCAGCACAUAGGGGAGGGGAGAAAGCCUGUCCCUGUCACCCCAGGAGAACGCGGGAGGGAAGGGAGGGGACAGGCAAGGUAGAGGGGAAGGCGGAUGCUAAGAUCCUCAUUUUCUCUUCCUGCCCCCUCAAGGAAGCUGGAGGCAGCUUCAGAAAUAUCUAGAAGUGUGUUCAAAAGCUGGAAGGCGGCGGGGCAUCUGGGCUCCUUCCCGUUUAUGGCUGUGGGCUGCCUGCUUUCUCCAGCUUGGGCACAACUCCAUCAAAGUGACCGCAGCAGCACCACAAGGGUAAAGCAGAGGGAGGGAGGAUGUAGUUCCAUGCGGUACUCACAGAGCCUAGAAGCUCCCGCGUGUAUGCGAGGCUGACGGGGGGACGUUGGAAGCUUAGACAGUUUGAGCGACUUGACCCCACAGAGUGAGCGGCACAGCUGGGUUUUGAGCCCUUAGCUCUUAACAACCACACACCUGCCACUCGGCUCCCCUGCAGCUGGGUAGCAGGGGUGCGGGGCCUCCCAUACUGGUUGCAAUGUCUUCCUCGGCUUGGACCCUGGGCGUGGUCAGCGUCCAGCCCGGCAUGUCCCCUCAGGCUCCCCUUGUCCCACAGCAGUGGCUGCUAAAGUCCCCGUGUGUCUCACAUCCUUUGUCAUACUCGCACCACACCUCCCCCUCACAGGCCUAACUCGGAUCGCGGACGUGACCUCCUGGUUUACAGAACUUUCUAUGGCGCUCCGUGACUCGUUCCCUCCCGCGUGUUUUUGUGGCAUCUCACGCAGAAACAUAGUCACGUAUCGCCUGAGCUGGACCGGGAGUCUUCAGUGACAGGUGAAAGCCACGAUCAUCUCUGAGUUUCUAGCCCAGAGAGGGAGAGGCACACUGCGGGCUGCCUUGCUUAAGGCUCUUCAUACCCUCAACCAGAGGGUCCUGGGUACAGCAGAGGCCGGAAAGCAGAAAAAGACAUUCCGAGCUAGGUUUCCAUGAUUAAUUUAAGUCCUGCCGGUCAGGCAUUCAUGUGAGACUCUGAUUUAAGACCGAGCGACGUUUUGCAAAAGGCAAGAGACGGGGCAUUCAUUUUGCUGGGGUGGAUCUUGGUGUUUAAAUUGUGACAGCAAUUCCUAAGGCAGACAGAUCUAUAGAGUCUGUAGUCCACACACAUUUGUCCUGGGGGGGAAGAAAGGAUAAACUUAAUGAAACUGCUCCCUUACAGAUUGCCAACAGCAUCUAAGAAUUGAUAACGGUCCCCAUCCCAGUUAGCCAGUUCCCCAUUACUUUCCCACUUGCCUUUUCACAGAAAGCAGGCCUUGUGUUGUAUUUGAUCUAGUUCUAUUAGAAAUCCUGUUGCAUUUGCCCCAGAGUCUAGUCGUUGAAAAGAGUGGGAAACAGUAAACCACAACAACAGCAUAAUCAGAAGGAAGGGUUAUUACCGGCAGCAAAGUCAGCAAAUGCUCCUGAAUUCCCCAAAAUCACACCAAAGAGGUAGGAAGAUAAGCUUCCACGUCGUGCUUCUCCUUAAGGUUUAUUUGUAUGACUUCAAUUAUAUUGCUUUCCACCUUUGGGAUUCUGUGCUUCUUUGGCAUCUAGGAUUUAUGAGCAAAUUAGAGAGUACACCAGGAAAGGUUCCGUAGACAUGGGAAGGAGGUGGAAUUUUACCAGCAAGGCAAAGGAAGGCUCAGGGAUUUGCUGAAGAUCCCGGUGAGUUGGCAACCAAACUGGACCCCUUUCUAUCGUGCAUCUCCGAAAGUGGCUGUGUUUUCAAUAAACUUUUUGGUAGGAGUUGAGAAUGGCCGUAG
rnacentral:lncRNA from 1 species